GUCCCCUUCCACACUGUGGAAGCUUUGUUCUUUUGUUCUUUGCAAUAAAUCUUGCUAUUGCUCACUCUUUGGGUCCACACUGCUUUUAUGAGCUGUCACACUCACAGGGAAGGUCUGCAGCUUCACUCCUGAAGCCAGCGAGACCACGAGCCCACCAGGAGGAACGAACAACUCCAGACGCGCCGCCUUAAGAGCUGUAACACUCACCGUGAAGGUCUGCAGCUUCACUCCUGAGCCAGCGAGACCACCAAACCCACCAGAAUGAAGAAACUCCGAACACAUCCGAACAUCAGAAGGGACAGACUCCAGAUGCGCCACCUUAAGAGCUGUAACACUCACUGCGAGGGUCCGCGGCUUCAUUCUUGAAGUCAGACCAAGAACCCACCAAUUCCGGACACGGAAGGACUUUAAUAUUAAAGAGUGCUAUGGUUAAAAUCAGUUCAAUUAAAAGUGGAUAUUCAAGCUCUAACAGCCUGGACUCCCUGGGAAAAACAGGAGGCACCAGAGAACCCUUUGCUGGCCCUGUUCUUCCAAGCGCUCCACCCUAAAGCUGGUAAUCCAAUUAAAAAACUUAAAAACUGGCAAAUGAAAAAUCUUACAACCCCUGUGGUGAUCUGCUUCUGUCUUUCUGUGUAGCUACAUAUGUGUUGUGUGUAACGUUUAUAUUUUUAAAAACUAAUUAAUUGGCUUAAACAAAAAUAAGCACUUACAUCAAAUAUUUUGAAACCAAAAUGAAAACCGUAAUGUCUUUUAGUUCAUGUAACUUUAGAAAUCUUUGGGAAAUAAAAACAGCUUUAAUAAUUGUUGAUAAAACCAUUUAGUCUAAAGUAUGCAGGUCAGAUAUUAAGUUGGCUAAAUGCUUUGAGGUUGUAAACUGCUUCUUUAACUUUUAAAAUUUGUUCAAUUUAUGUACCUUAAAGCCAUUAGAUUCUAGAUAAGGCCUGGGGGGACAUGUAGAAUUAGCCAUGCCCCCUAGCUGUACAAAGAUUAUAAAGAAAGGUUAUAUGAGAAAGCAUCUUGUAUGGUAAAUUCUUGUCCUAAAGUAAAAUAACUGGUUGUUUAAAAGGAGGGAUGUUUACGGCAAGUCAGAAAGUCGAAAAAUGCCUCAUGUGGUCUGUGUAAGUCGUGAAAGGAUUUGUGAAAGGGAAUUUGUGCGAGAAAUGUUCUACAAUUCAAAGGUGGUUGGGCUUCUUAAAUGCUUCGUAAAAUGCCACCAUGACGCUUACCAUACAAUUUGCCUGCUUCAGUAAGAUAGGGCCUGGGGACAUGUGGAGUUAGUCACGUCCCUAGCUAUGCUGGAGAGUCAGCCCUUAUCUGUACUUCUGCCUGGUAUGUCCUAGGCUAGGCUUCACAUCUAGUAGACAAUUAAAAUUGCUCACUAACCAGCGUUUUCACCAAAAGUAAGCGUCGCUAAAAGUUAACAUUGUAACACGUAAUUGAGACUAUUGAAAAAAACAGCUUUACAUGUAAGGUGUGUAAGGAAAGUAGAAUGUACUUUUGGUACAAGGUUAUAAGAAGGCAUGGGAAUGUGAAUUUUUUUGCUUAAAGGGAUAAAGAAUUGUUGUAAGUUAGUAGAAUAAAGGUAAAGGUUUGAACAGUUGUGGAAAGUUUGUAAAAACUUAAUUGUAAAAGAGAUUCUGUGUGUGUGCACUGGCUAAAUUAAAGGGAUAUUAUUCCAUUUUUAUAUAAAUUAAACAUUGAAAUAAAAGCACAACAGGUUUUUCUUAGAGCAAAAAAACUGCUUAUAAUCUGCUCUUUAACAAAAACUUGUAAAGGGUUAUAAAAGGUUUAUGAGAAUCUUACCUUAUGGUCAAACUGAUUAAGAUUGGACAUAUUUUUAUAAAUAAAACCUUAUUUAUAAGGUUUUAUUAAGAAUUGGGUUUGGCAUCAAUAGUGCACUAAUGCAACAGUGACAUUUGGCUUAUUUUGGUACAAAAAUCCUACAGGAAGCCCUGUCCUGUAUGGUUUUAUCUGGGCAGUAUUUGUAUAAAUGUGUUAUUGGUAUAUAUUCCAAAAUUAUGGGCAACUCCUAUAAUCCAGAUAUGACACUGUACAUUAGCAGUAAUAAUUAUAAUCGUUACCUAAAAUCAUUGUAUACCAUAGUGGUAACAAAUUUCCUUGUCAAUUGUUUAUUUGACUGUGGCUGCCCUAAAACAUUUUGUCGGCCACAGACAAUUGUUACCUUGUUUUAGUCCUCUUUAAAAGGUGGUUUAAAAUCAAUUAUAGAACUCUAACAGGCUUUUUUGUUGUUGUUGUUGUUUGUUUGUUUGUUUUUCUGAGACAGAAUCUUACUCUGUUGCCUAGGCUGGAGUACAGUGGCGUGAUCUCAGCUCACUGCAACCUCCGCCUCCCAGGUUCAAGCAAUUCUCCUGCCUCAGCCUCCUGAGUAUCUGGGAUUAGAGGCAUGCACCACCAUGCCUCACUAAUUUUUUUUUUGUAUUUUUUGUACAGGUAGAGUUUCACCAUGUUGGACAGUCUGGUCUUGAACUCUUGACCUCAAGUGAUCCCCCUGCCUCGGCCUCCCAGAGUGCUGGGAUUACAGGUGUGAGCCACCAUGCCUGGCCUAACAGGCAUUCUUAAAUGUAGGUUUUCUAAUAACUUUGGAAAUUGUAACAUCAGAAUAGAGGAAAAACUUGCAGGACUCUCAUGGAGAGCUAAAAUGUUCAUAAAUAUCAAGCAAAACAGGAGUUAACUAAAUUCACUAAACCAAUAAAAAAACGGAAGUAAUCUUUUAAACUUUGCUUAAAACAUUGCUGAUCCUUUGUUUUGUUUUUCAAAGUCAAGGAAACUUUUCUUUUGAGCUGUUUACAGCUUUUAACAGUUAAGUAUGUAUCCACCUAUAAACAAAAUGUGGAGCAUAUUUGUUUCUCUCUACCUAAUUUCUCCAGAAUUUGUAAACUAGUUGUGAGUAUUCUUAACUUAUGGCAAUAUAGUUAUUUGCAUAACUAUAUUUGCAAUAAGAAACUGUUUUCUUUUGUAACAGGACACAAUGGGAGAAAUUGGUGAUUUUUGUCAAGGCUUUGCCUGGAAUAGUGUGUUUUCCUUUAGGGAAUUAAACUUGACUUAUAGAGCCAAUAAAAUCUCUUUAGGGAACUGACCUUAUACCUUUCCAAAACAGUCCCUGUGCAGGGUUUCUAACCUGUGGUGAGUAAAGAAUGUCACUUUCUGACAGGUCCAGGAGCCCCAGGUUAUCUUGGGACAUCAAGAGGAAAAAAAAUUUACCUAACUCAUAGAUAUACAAAGGUACAAACCCAUGGCUGGGCUCAGCUUUAAAAAAGUCUUAUCUGAGAUUCCUUAUGAAACAGAGUUCCAUCAAAGCCAAUUUAAAAACAGCUUAUGUGAAAAAUAAUUAUUCUUGCUGCACUUUAUACAAAUAAUCAGGCCAAAUAUAAUAAAGCAAAUCAGUCUUACCAUAAUUUGUCUUUAGUAAAAAUGGAAAACUGGAGAGAGAAAUAUUAUGUUUCAAGAACUAUGGUGCACUUGUUGUUAAAUUCUAGUCUUAUCUGUUGUUUUUAAGUUUGUUUCUGCAAUUUAGGCUAACCCUGCUUAUUCCUGUGAAUCAACCAGUGAUCUCUGACUGUUGCUCAGAAGAAACAAGAGGUAUUGGGGAACCUGCCCCAAUAUUCACAUAUCACCUUUCGUCAAAACUCAAGACUUAUUAAUGGACUUACCACACUGAUGCUUUCUGACUGAGCUCCUCUCUACCCUGAUUGCAAGAGACCCUCAUAGUUAGAGAGGAAUAUCAUCACCCCUAUUCAGCCUGAAGAAGUUACAGAAGAUGGAUCUCCAUCCCUCUGCAACCUUUAGGAAUAAGUGUUCUCUUAUAAAAGGAAGGGGGGAAAUAUCAGAGGCAUGUGAACCAGAGCAACUCCAUCUUAAACAGGAACUGGGUCAAAUGAGGCUAAAACCUACUGGGCUGCAUUCCCAGAUGUUUAAGGCAUACUAAGUCACAGGAUGAGAUAGGAGGUCAGCACAAAAUACAGGUCACAAAGACUUUGCUGAUAAAACAGUUUGCAGUAAAGGAGCCAGCCAAAACCCACCAAAACCAAAAUGACCAUGAGAGUGACCUCUGGUCAUCCUCACUGCUACACUCCCAUCAGCGCCAUAACAGUUUAUAAAUGCCAUGGCAAUGUCAGGAAGUUACCCCAUACCGUUUGAAAAGAGGAGGCAUGAAUAAUCCACCCCCUUGUUUAGCAUAUCAUCAGGAAAUAACCAUGAAAAUGGGCAGCCAGCAGCCCUCAGGGUGGCUCUAUGGAGUAGCCAUUCUUUUAUUCCUUUACUUUUUUCUUUUUUUGAGGUGGAGUCUUGCUCCAUCACCCAGACUGGGGUGCAGUGGCGCGAUCUCGGCUCACUGCAAGCUCCGCCUCCCAGGUUCACGCCAUUCUCCUGCCUCAGCCUCCCGAGUAGCUGGGACUACAGGCACCUGCCACCAUGCCUGGCUAAUUUUUUGUACUUUUAGUAGAUGUGGGAUUUCACCGUGUUAGCCAGGAUGGUCUUGAUCUCCUGACCUCGUGAUCCACCUGCCUUGGCCUCCCAAAGUGCUGGGAUUACAGGCGUGAGCCACCGCGCCCAGCCUCCUUUACUUUCUUAAUCAACUUGCUUUCACUUUGCACUGUGGACUCAUCCCAAAUUCUUUCUUGCUCUAGAUCCAAGAACCCUCUCUUGGGAUCUGGACUGGGGCCCCUUUCCUGUAACACCCGAGAUUGCACAGAAAUCGUCAAAUCAGGUUUAGCCUAAAGCCACGUCUUUACAUAUUUUAAGUUUGGCCUAAAGGUUUUUCUGUACAUCAUGAACUGUAACAGGGGGAGGUGUAAACAGACCAUAGCCUACACUUGUGCCAGUCACUGAGUUUUGGCCAACCAAAUGUAGCCAACUGUUCAAACCAUGUGCAAAUAAGGCAAACACCAAGCUGUAACCCUCCAGCUGUUUCUGUGCCUCACUUCCAUUUUCUGUAAGUCACUUUCUUUUUUCUGUCCAUAAAUCUUCCACCCCAUGGCUGCACUGGAGUCUCUGAGCCUACUCUGACUGGAAGCUUGCUGGAUUCUCAAAUUGUUCAUUGCUCAAUUAAAUUUUAUUUGGCUGAAGUUUUUAUUUUGUCAAUAUUUCAAAGUAAAAUGUUUCUCUAAAAUCAGAGCUAUUUGUAGAAAUACAAAUAAAAAUGGAAAACUUUUUUCUUGUCAGUUUUUGUUAGCUUUUUAUUAAUAAUUUAUUCAAUUUAGCUAAAUUUCCAA
rnacentral:lncRNA from 1 species